rnacentral:rRNA from 1 species
UUUAACUGAGCGUUCAGUUACUUGACGUAGACCCGAAACCGGGCGACCUACCCAUGAGCAGGAUGAAGCGAAAGUAAAAUUUCGUGGAGGUCCGAACCCACGAGCGUUGAAAAGCUCGGGGAUGACUUGUGGGUAGCGGUGAAAUUCCAAUCGAGCCCGGAGAUAGCUGGUUCUCCCCGAAAUAGCUUUAGGGCUAGCCUCAAGGUGAGAGAUACGGAGGUAGAGCACUGAAUGUCCUAGGGGGUAUUGCACCUACCGAAGACUAUCAAACUCCGAAUGCCGUCAUCUUAUACUUGGGAGUCAGACUGUGGGUGAUAAGAUUCAUAGUCGAAAGGGCAACAGCCCAGAUCGUCAGCUAAGGUCCCUAAAUGUAAGUUAAGUGGUAAAGGAUGUGGGAUUGCACAGACAACCAGGAUGUUGGCUUAGAAGCAGCCACUCAUUCAAAGAGUGCGUAAUAGCUCACUGGUCGAGUGAUCCUGCGCCGAAGAUUUCCGGGGCUAAAACUUACUACCGAAGCUACGGCAUCAGUAAUGAUGGGUAGGGGAGCUUCCCAUACGGGUUGAAGCAUGACCGUAAGGACAUGUGGACAGUAUGGGAGUGAGAAUGUUGGCAUGAGUAGCGAGAUGUGGGUGAGAAUCCCACAGGCCGUAAACCCAAGGUUUCCAGGGGAAGGUUCGUCCGCCCUGGGUUAGUCGGGACCUAAGCUGAGGCCGAAAGGCGUAGGUGAUGGACAACAGGUUGAUAUUCCUGUACUACCGAUAACCGUUUGAGAGA